rnacentral:rRNA from 1 species
GUUCAUCCCUUGACGGUAUCUAACCAGAAAGCCACGGCUAACUACGUGCCAGCAGCCGCGGUAAUACGUAGGUGGCAAGCGUUGUCCGGAUUUAUUGGGCGUAAAGCGAGCGCAGGCGGUUUCUUAAGUCUGAUGUGAAAGCCCCCGGCUCAACCGGGGAGGGUCAUUGGAAACUGGGAGACUUGAGUGCAGAAGAGGAGAGUGGAAUUCCAUGUGUAGCGGUGAAAUGCGUAGAUAUAUGGAGGAACACCAGUGGCGAAGGCGGCUCUCUGGUCUGUAACUGACGCUGAGGCUCGAAAGCGUGGGGAGCGAACAGGAUUAGAUACCCUGGUAGUCCACGCCGUAAACGAUGAGUGCUAAGUGUUGGAGGGUUUCCGCCCUUCAGUGCUGCAGCAAACGCAUUAAGCACUCCGCCUGGGGAGUACGACCGCAAGGUUGAAACUCAAAGGAAUUGACGGGGGCCCGCACAAGCGGUGGAGCAUGUGGUUUAAUUCGAAGCAACGCGAAGAACCUUACCAGGUCUUGACAUCCUUUGACCACUCUAGAGAUAGAGCUUCCCCUUCGGGGGCAAAGUGACAGGUGGUGCAUGGUUGUCGUCAGCUCGUGUCGUGAGAUGUUGGGUUAAGUCCCGCAACGAGCGCAACCCUUAUUGUUAGUUGCCAUCAUUUAGUUGGGCACUCUAGCGAGACUGCCGGUGACAAACCGGAGGAAGGUGGGGAUGACGUCAAAUCAUCAUGCCCCUUAUGACCUGGGCUACACACGUGCUACAAUGGGAAGUACAACGAGUUGCGAAGUCGCGAGGCUAAGCUAAUCUCUUAAAGCUUCUCUCAGUUCGGAUUGUAGGCUGCAACUCGCCUACAUGAAGCCGGAAUCGCUAGUAAUCGCGGAUCAGCACGCCGCGGUGAAUACGUUCCCGGGCCUUGUACACACCGCCCGUCACACCACGAGAGUUUGUAACACCCGAAGUCGGUGAGGUAACCUUUUUGGAGCCAGCCGCCUAAGGUGGGAUAGAUGAUUGGGGUGAAGUCGUAACAAGGUAGCCGUAUCGGAAGGUG